rnacentral:rRNA from 1 species
GAUGAACGCUGGCGGCGUGCCUAAUACAUGCAAGUCGAACGCAUUGAGAGAAGUGCUUGCACUUUUCAAUUUGAGUGGCGAACGGGUGAGUAACACAUGGGCAACCUACCUGAUAGCGGGGGAUAACGAGUGGAAACAUUCGCUAAUACCGCAUAACAAUAGAGAAGGCAUCUUCUUUAUUUAAAAGUCGCUUUCAAGCGUCACUAUCAGAUGGGCCCGCGGUGCAUUAGUUAGUUGGUGGGGUGAAGGCCUACCAAGACGAUGAUGCAUAGCCGAGUUGAGAGGGCGAUCGGCCACAUUGGGACUGAGACACGGACCAAACUCCUAAGGGAGGCUGCAGUAGGGAAUCUUCCACAAUGGACGAAAGUCUGAUGGAGCAACGGCGCGUGUGUGAUGGAGGCUUUCGGGUCGUAAAGCACUGUUGUAUGGGAAGAAAUGCUAGGCUAGGAAAUGAGCUUAGUUUGACGGUACCAUACCAGAAAGGGACGGCUAAAUACGUGCCAGCCGCCGCGGUAA